GACGAACGCUGGCGGCGUGCUUAACACAUGCAAGUCGAGCGGUAAGGCCCUUCGGGGUACACGAGUGGCGAACGGGUGAGUAACACGUGGGUGAUCUACCCUGCACUUCGGGAUAAGCCUGGGAAACUGGGUCUAAUACCGGAUAGGACCACUGCCUCCAUGGGUGGUGGUGGAAAGCUUUUGCGGUGUGGGAUGGGCCCGCGGCCUAUCAGCUUGUUGGUGGGGUGAUGGCCUACCAAGGCGACGACGGGUAGCCGGCCUGAGAGGGUGACCGGCCACACUGGGACUGAGAUACGGCCCAGACUCCUACGGGAGGCAGCAGUGGGGAAUAUUGCACAAUGGGCGCAAGCCUGAUGCAGCGACGCCGCGUGAGGGAUGACGGCCUUCGGGUUGUAAACCUCUUUCAGCACCGACGAAGCGCAAGUGACGGUAGGUGCAGAAGAAGGACCGGCCAACUACGUGCCAGCCGCCGCCGUAA
rnacentral:rRNA from 1 species